rnacentral:rRNA from 1 species
GAUGAACGCUGGCGGCGUGCCUAAUACAUGCAAGUCGAGCGAACAGACGAGGAGCUUGCUCCUCUGACGUUAGCGGCGGACGGGUGAGUAACACGUGGAUAACCUACCUAUAAGACUGGGAUAACUUCGGGAAACCGGAGCUAAUACCGGAUAAUAUAUUGAACCGCAUGGUUCAAUAGUGAAAGACGGUUUUGCUGUCACUUAUAGAUGGAUCCGCGCCGCAUUAGCUAGUUGGUAAGGUAACGGCUUACCAAGGCAACGAUGCGUAGCCGACCUGAGAGGGUGAUCGGCCACACUGGAACUGAGACACGGUCCAGACUCCUACGGGAGGCAGCAGUAGGGAAUCUUCCGCAAUGGGCGAAAGCCUGAGGAGCAACGCCGCGUGAGUGAUGAAGGUCUUCGGAUCGUAAAACUCUGUUAUUAGGGAAGAACAAAUGUGUAAGUAACUAUGCACGUCUUGACGGUACCUAAUCAGAAAGCCACGGCUAGCUACGUG